rnacentral:rRNA from 1 species
UACGGAGGGUGCAAGCGUUGUUCGGAAUUAUUGGGCGUAAAGGGCAGGUAGGUGGUCUUAUAAGUCUACUGUGAAAUCCCCGAGCUUAACUCGGGAAGUGCGGUGGAUACUGUAAGACUAGAGUGCUAUAGGGGUACGUGGAAUUCUCGGUGUAGCGGUGAAAUGCGUAGAGAUCGAGAGGAACACCAGAGGCGAAGGCGGCCUACUGGGCCAGUACUGACGCUGAGCCGCGAAAGCCAGGGGAGCGAACGGG